CGAACGGGUGAGUAACGCGUGAGGAACCUGCCUCAAAGAGGGGGACAACAGUUGGAAACGACUGCUAAUACCGCAUAAGCCCACAGCUCGGCAUCGAGCAGAGGGAAAAGGAGCAAUCCGCUUUGAGAUGGCCUCGCGUCCGAUUAGCUAGUUGGUGAGGUAACGGCCCACCAAGGCGACGAUCGGUAGCCGGACUGAGGGGUUGAACGGCCACAUUGGGACUGAGACACGGCCCAG
rnacentral:rRNA from 1 species